UACGUAGGGGGCAAGCGUUGUCCGGAUUUAUUGGGCGUAAAGAGCUCGUAGGCGGCUUGGCAAGUCGGGUGUGAAAACUCCAGGCUCAACCUGGAGAUGCCACUCGAGACUGCUAUGGCUAGAGUCCGGUAGGGGACCACGGAAUUCCUGGUGUAGCGGUGAAAUGCGCAGAUAUCGGGAGGAACACCAGUGGCGAAGGCGGCGCUCUGGGCCGGAACUGACGCUGAGGAGCGAAAGCGUGGGUAGCAAACAGG
rnacentral:rRNA from 1 species